rnacentral:rRNA from 1 species
GGGUCAGUAGGUUGGUCGUGCCACCGGUACGUACUGGUCUCACUGAUUCCUCCUUCCUGAAGAACCGUAAUGCCAUUAAUUUGGUGUUGCGGAGAAACAGGACUGUUACUUUGAAAAAAUUAGAGUGUUUAAAGCAAUCUAACGCUUGAAUACAUUAGCAUGGAAUAAUGAAAUAGGACGAUCGAUCCUAUUUUGUUGGUUUCUAGGAUUGACGUA